GACGAACGCUGGCGGCGUGCUUAACACAUGCAAGUCGAACGGAAAGGCCCUGCUUUUGUGGGGUGCUCGAGUGGCGAACGGGUGAGUAACACGUGAGUAACCUGCCCUUGACUUUGGGAUAACUUCAGGAAACUGGGGCUAAUACCGGAUAGGAGCUCCUGCUGCAUGGUGGGGGUUGGAAAGUUUCGGCGGUUGGGGAUGGACUCGCGGCUUAUCAGCUUGUUGGUGGGGUAGUGGCUUACCAAGGCUUUGACGGGUAGCCGGCCUGAGAGGGUGACCGGCCACAUUGGGACUGAGAUACGGCCCGGACUCCUACGGGAGGCAGCAGUGGGGAAUAUUGCACAAUGGGCGGAAGCCUGAUGCAGCAACGCCGCGUGCGGGAUGACGGCCUUCGGGUUGUAAACCGCUUUCGCCUGUGACGAAGCGUGAGUGGCGGUAAUGGGUAAAGAAGCACCGGCUAACUACGUG
rnacentral:rRNA from 1 species